rnacentral:rRNA from 1 species
AGUGAACGCUGGCGGCGUGCUUAACACAUGCAAGUCGAACGAGAACGGGUUAUAGCUUGCUAUAAUUGUCAGCUAAGUGGCGCACGGGUGAGUAAUGUAUAGGUAAUAUGCCUCUUACUAAGGGAUAACAAAUGGAAACGUUUGCUAAUACCUUAUACUCCUUAUUAACAGAAGUUAAUAAGGGAAAGAUUUAUUGGUAAGAGAUGAGCCUGUAUUGUAUCAGUUAGUUGGUGGGGUAAUGGCCUACCAAGACUAUGACACAUAACUGGUUUGAGAGGAUGAUCAGUCACACUGGAACUGAGACACGGUCCAGACUCCUACGGGAGGCAGCAGUGGGGAAUAUUGCACAAUGGACGAAAGUCUGAUGCAGCAACGCCGCGUGGAGGAUGACACAUUUCGGUGCGUAAACUCCUUUUAUAUGAGAAGAUAAUGACGGUAUUAUAUGAAUAAGCACCGGCUAACUCCGUGCCAGCAGCAGCCGCGGUAA